UAAAAUCUAGUUUAUUUAAGAAUUUUCUUUUGUUAAUAGAGCGGUGUAGAGUUUUCUACGAUUUUUG
rnacentral:tRNA from 1 species